CUCACACAGGGUCUCGCCUGCAGAGCCCAGAUGCUCGUCACCUGACUGGGAGGAGUUUGCGGGGUUCUGCUGCAAACAUUUUGACAAUGAAUUGAACUGGGCUGAUGCUCAACGGGUCUGCCGUGGUAUUGGUGCCAAACUGGUGUCCAUCCGCACCGAGGUGGAGCAGGCAAACCAGCGACAUGUGGACCGAACUGAACAACCUGGUGCUUCCCGGCACGUUCGUGUGGUCGGACCGCCACAAGGUGACCUUCACCCACUGGGCCAGCGUGUCAGCCUCGGUAAACACUCUGUGGCUGUGUUACGGCAGACUGGAAGAAGAUGGAAGCCAAUGUCUUGCGCCCAAGUCAACAGCUUCAUGUGCAAAAUGCCCCACAGAGCAUUUUCGAAUUGCCUCAUUGAAGCCACAGGUGGCGUCAUAGAGUCAACCUCGCUGUGUCAGUUCCAAACAUCCCAAGACCAAUCGAAGUCCAUGGAGAAAAUUAACAAUGCAAGCAAGACAUCGAAGACGAAAAUUUAAUGCCCUUCCU